rnacentral:rRNA from 1 species
AGCGGCGAGCGAACGGGGAGCAGCCCAGAGCCUGAAUCAGUGUGUGUGUUAGUGGAAGCGUCUGGAAAGGCGCGUGAUACAGGGUGACAGCCCCGUACACAAAAAUGCACAUGCUGUGAGCUCGAUGAGUAGGGCGGGACACGUGGUAUCCUGUCUGAAUAUGGGGGGACCAUCCUCCAAGGCUAAAUACUCCUGACUGACCGAUAGUGAACCAGUACCGUGAGGGAAAGGCGAAAAGAACCCCGGCGAGGGGAGUGAAAAAGAACCUGAAACCGUGUACGUACAAGCAGUGGGAGCACGCUUAGGCGUGUGACUGCGUACCUUUUGUAUAAUGGGUCAGCGACUUAUAUUCUGUAGCAAGGUUAACCGAAUAGGGGAGCCGAAGGGAAACCGAGUCUUAACUGGGCGUUAAGUUGCAGGGUAUAGACCCGAAACCCGGUGAUCUAGCCAUGGGCAGGUUGAAGGUUGGGUAACACUAACUGGAGGACCGAACCGACUAAUGUUGAAAAAUUAGCGGAUGACUUGUGGCUGGGGGUGAAAGGCCAAUCAAACCGGGAGAUAGCUGGUUCUCCCCGAAAGCUAUUUAGGUAGCGCCUCGUGAAUUCAUCUCCGGGGGUAGAGCACUGUUUCGGCAAGGGGGUCAUCCCGACUUACCAACCCGAUGCAAACUGCGAAUACCGGAGAAUGUUAUCACGGGAGACACACGGCGGGUGCUAACGUCCGUCGUGAAGAGGGAAACAACCCAGACCGCCAGCUAAGGUCCCAAAGUCAUGGUUAAGUGGGAAACGAUGUGGGAAGGCCCAGACAGCCAGGAUGUUGGCUUAGAAGCAGCCAUCAUUUAAAGAAAGCGUAAUAGCUCACUGGUCGAGUCGGCCUGCGCGGAAGAUGUAACGGGGCUAAACCAUGCACCGAAGCUGCGGCAGCGACGCUUAUGCGUUGUUGGGUAGGGGAGCGUUCUGUAAGCCUGUGAAGGUGUACUGUGAGGUAUGCUGGAGGUAUCAGAAGUGCGAAUGCUGACAUAAGUAACGAUAAAGCGGGUGAAAAGCCCGCUCGCCGGAAGACCAAGGGUUCCUGUCCAACGUUAAUCGGGGCAGGGUGAGUCGACCCCUAAGGCGAGGCCGAAAGGCGUAGUCGAUGGGAAACAGGUUAAUAUUCCUGUACUUGGUGUUACUGCGAAGGGGGGACGGAGAAGGCUAUGUUGGCCGGGCGACGGUUGUCCCGGUUUAAGCGUGUAGGCUGGUUUUCCAGGCAAAUCCGGAAAAUCAAGGCUGAGGCGUGAUGACGAGGCACUACGGUGCUGAAGCAACAAAUGCCCUGCUUCCAGGAAAAGCCUCUAAGCAUCAGGUAACAUCAAAUCGUACCCCAAACCGACACAGGUGGUCAGGUAGAGAAUACCAAGGCGCUUGAGAGAACUCGGGUGAAGGAACUAGGCAAAAUGGUGCCGUAACUUCGGGAGAAGGCACGCUGAUAUGUAGGUGAAGUCCCUCGCGGAUGGAGCUGAAAUCAGUCGAAGAUACCAGCUGGCUGCAACUGUUUAUUAAAAACACAGCACUGUGCAAACACGAAAGUGGACGUAUACGGUGUGACGCCUGCCCGGUGC